rnacentral:lncRNA from 1 species
GGCCUCUCCCCGGAUGUCCGUGUGGGAUACUGUUGGUCUGUUUUGAAGGACUCAGUGAGUGGGAAUCUUACCCACAUCUGUGGAGGCACCACCCCAAUUUGCAAGCAAGAGCCAUCUGCUUGCUUUGCAUCUGGAGCAGGUUGGCUGGGACCAACCUUAUCUGAAGAGUUUCUGGUCAUCUUGAACUUAACUCAUCCCUUAACUGCCUCAAGGCUCCUUCUGAAGGGAGGCCGAGACCUCAGACAGACCGACCUCAAGGAUGCUUUCAAGGCCUCUCUCCCUGCAAGUAAACCCAGCCUCCGCAGUUGGCGGCAGGCACUUUCAGAUGCAAAUGUGAAGUUAGUCCCUCCGAGCUAAUCUGCUUGCUGUUCUCCUUGUCUCCCGAGUCCCGGAGAGACUUGGCUGGAACACCGAUACUGCCCUGCAACGGGAGAGUUUCAUAUCACCUCGCGGCUACACUUUAGAAGAAGAAAACAACUGAAAAAAAGCAAAAAAGGAAAAACUCUUGAUAGCAUUUCCCCUUCUGAAGGGACCGAUCAGUUACGGACUUAUUUCGCUCUACGCUACUCAAGGGAAAACUAUCCACAGGGAACUGUGCCCUGCACCCUGCACCCUGCACCUGCACCCCAGCCCGAAGUUCCCUAAGGAACUCACUGUGCAAAAUAA